GGUUGUGACUCAGUGGUAGAACACUUACCUCACACGCAUGAGGCAUUGGGUUCAAUCCCCAGCACCA
rnacentral:tRNA from 1 species